rnacentral:rRNA from 1 species
AACGCUAGCUACAGGCUUAACACAUGCAAGUCGAGGGGCAGCACAAGGCAGCAAUGCUGAGGUGGCGACCGGCGCACGGGUGCGUAACGCGUAUCCAACCUUCCCGUUACUCAUGGAUAGCCUUCCGAAAGGGAGAUUAAUACAAGAUGGUGUUGAAAUUUCGCAUGUUAUUUCAACUAAAGAUUUAUCGGUAACGGAUGGGGAUGCGUGACAUUAGAUAGAUGGCGGGGUAACGGCCCACCAUGUCCACGAUGGAUAGGGGUUCUGAGAGGAAGGUCCCCCACACUGGAACUGAGACACGGUCCAGACUCCUACGGGAGGCAGCAGUGAGGAAUAUUGGUCAAUGGACGCAAGUCUGAACCAGCCAAGUAGCGUGAAGGAUGACUGCCCUAUGGGUUGUAAACUUCUUUUAUACGGGAAUAAAAGACAUUACGUGUAGUGUUUUGCAUGUACCGUAUGAAUAAGCAUCGGCUAAUUCCGUGCCAGCAGCCGCGGUAAUACGGAAGAUGCGAGCGUUAUCCGGAUUUAUUGGGUUUAAAGGGAGCGUAGGCGGGUUUUUAAGUCAGCUGUGAAAGUUUGAGGCUCAACCUUAAAAUUGCAGUUGAUACUGGAGACCUUGAGUGCGGUAAAGGUAGGCGGAAUUCGUGGUGUAGCGGUGAAAUGCUUAGAUAUCACGAAGAACUCCGAUUG